rnacentral:rRNA from 1 species
ACGAGGGGGGCAAGCGUUGUUCGGAAUCACUGGGCGUAAAGGGCGCGUAGGCGGCGCGGUAAGCGUGUGGUGAAAGCCCGGGGCUCAACCCCUGAUCGGCCGUGCGAACUGGGGGGCUGGAGCACUGUAGAGGCAGGCGGAAUUCCGGGUGUAGCGGUGGAAUGCGUAGAGAUCCGGAAGAACACCGGUGGCGAAGGCGGCCUGCUGGGCAGUUGGCUGACGCUGAGGCGCGACAGCGUGGGGAGCAAACAGGA